AUAUCAAUAAGCGGAGGAAAAGAAACUAACAAGGAUUCCCCUAGUAACGGCGAGUGAAGCGGGAAAAGCUCAAAUUUGAAAUCUCACUGGUUUCCAGUGCGAAUUGUAGUUUAGAGAAGUGUUUUCGGAGGUGGGCCAGGCAUAAGUCCCUGGAACGGGGCAUCGUAGAGGGUGACAAUCCCGUCUUAGGUCUGGACUCCGCUUCUAUGUGAUACACUUUCAAAGAGUCGGGUUGUUUGGGAAUGCAGCCCAAAAUGGGUGGUAAAUACCAUCUAAAGCUAAAUAACGGCGAGGGACCGAUAGCGCACAAGUA
rnacentral:rRNA from 1 species